UACGUAGGGGGCUAGCGUUGUCCGGAAUCAUUGGGCGUAAAGAGCGUGUAGGCGGCCCGGUAAGUCCGCUGUAAAAGUCAAAGGCUCAACCUUUGAAUGUCAGUGGAUACUGCCGGGCUAGAGUCCGGCAGAGGCGAGUGGAACUCCUGGUGUAGCGGUGGAAUGCGCAGAUAUCAGGAAGAACACCAACGGCGAAGGCAGCUCGCUGGGACGGUACUGACGCUGAGACGCGAAAGCGUGGGGAGCGAACAGG
rnacentral:rRNA from 1 species